GACGAACGCUUGCGACGUGCCUAAGAAAUGCAAGUCGAGCGAGGUAGCAAUACCUAGCGGCGAACGGUCGCGUAACACGUAAGCAACCUGCCCCAAAGACCGGGACAACGUUUCGAAAGGAGCGCUAAUACCGGAUGUGGUCAUCGGCUGACAUCGGCUGAUGAGUAAAUCGAGCAAUCGGCUUUGGGAGGGGCUUGCGGCCUAUCAGCUAGAUGGUGGGGUAACGGCCUACCAUGGCGACGACGGGUAGCUGGUCUGAGAGGAUGGUCAGCCGGAUUGGGACUGAGAUACGGCCCAGACUCCUACGGGGGGCAGCAAUUAGGAAUCUUGCGCAAUGGGCGAAAGCCUGACGCAGCGACGUCGCGU
rnacentral:rRNA from 1 species